ANCNUGCAGUCGAACGAUGAACCAGGUGCUUGCACUUGGGGAUUAGUGGCGAACGGGUGAGUAACACGUGAGCAACCUGCCCCUCACUCUGGGAUAAGCGCUGGAAACGGCGUCUAAUACUGGAUACGAGUCGCAACCGCAUGGUUAGUGACUGGAAAGAUUUUUUGGUGGGGGAUGGGCUCGCGGCCUAUCAGCUUGUUGGUGAGGUAAUGGCUCACCAAGGCGUCGACGGGUAGCCGGCCUGAGAGGGUGACCGGCCACACUGGGACUGAGACACGGCCCAGACUCCUACGGGAGGCAGCAGUGGGGAAUAUUGCACAAUGGGCGGAAGCCUGAUGCAGCAACGCCGCGUGAGGGAUGACGGCCUUCGGGUUGUAAACCUCUUUUAGCAGGGAAGAAGCGUGAGUGACGGUACCUGCAGAAAAAGCGCCGGCUAACUACGUGCCAGCGC
rnacentral:rRNA from 1 species